UUGAGCUGUGUGCGGGGAAACUCGCUUGCACAGUUCUUAGGGGGAACGGAGGCGCAAGCCUCCCGCCCUACCCGGU
rfam:Candidatus Desantisbacteria bacterium CG2_30_40_21 cg2_3.0_scaffold_10254_c, whole genome shotgun sequence.